AUUGAACGCUGGCGGCAUGCCUUACACAUGCAAGUCGAACGGUAACAGGUCUUUCGGGAUGCUGCCGAGUGGCGAACGGGUGAGUAAUACAUCGGAACGUGCCUAGUAGUGGGGGAUAACUACUCGAAAGAGUGGCUAAUACCGCAUGAGAUCUAUGGAUGAAAGCAGGGGACCUUUGGGCCUUGUGCUACUAGAGCGGCCGAUGGCAGAUUAGGUAGUUGGUGGGAUAAAAGCUUACCAAGCCUACGAUCUGUAGCUGGUCUGAGAGGACGAUCAGCCACACUGUGACUGAGACACGGCCCAGACUCCUACGGGAGGCAGCAGUGGGGAAUUUUGGACAAUGGGCGCAAGCCUGAUCCAGCAAUGCCGCGUGCAGGAUGAAGGCCUUCGGGUUGUAAACUGCUUUUGUACGGAACGAAAAGUCUUGGGUUAAUACCCUGGGAUCAUGACGGUACCGUAAGAAUAAGCACCGGCUAACUACGUG
rnacentral:rRNA from 1 species